CCAUGAAGUCGGAAUCGCUAGUAAUCGCGAAUCAGAAUGUCGCGGUGAAUACGUUCCCGGGCCUUGUACACACCGCCCGUCACACCAUGGGAGUGGAUUGCACCAGAAGUAGUUAGUCUAACCUUCGGGAGGACGAUUACCACGGUGUGGUUCAUGACUGGGGUGAAGUCGUAACAAGGUAGCCGUAGGGGAACCUGCGGCUGGAUCACCUCCUUAACGACGAAGAC
rnacentral:rRNA from 1 species